rnacentral:rRNA from 1 species
UACGAAGGGGGGCUAGCGUUGUUCGGAAUUACUGGGCGUAAAGCGCGCGCAGGCGGUCCUUCAAGUCAGAGGUGAAAGCCCAGAGCUCAACUCUGGAAUGGCCUUUGAGACUAGAGGACUUGGGUACGGGAGAGGUGAGUGGAAUUCCGAGUGUAGAGGUGAAAAUUCGUAGAUAUUCGGAAGAACACCAGUGGCGAAGGCGGCUCACUGGCCCGUA